UGCCAGAAGAUACAAUUUGUAUCCAACAAAUACACAUUGGAUACUUCGUCCGAAGCAUCCCCUCCCAGGACGUUUAUCAUGGACAGUGGCGGCUCUGUGUGCACUUGGUUUGCCUUCAUUGAGCUAAGAAGUGGGUUUCCCAUAGAGAAAAACGGGGUUUUCUAGUUGAGCCGGAACCAGACCACGCCGUGAGCCAUUUCACUGGGCUGUUCCAGAGUACUGCACUGAGCCUCGGGACAGUUGAAAUCCCAAGGGUCUUAUCCCUGAAAGUUAUCAUCAUAAGGACCAAAGGGACCUUUCAGAUAGUCUAGUGACUGUCCAGUGAUCGUCAGCUCUACAGCAUGUGAGAUGUCUCCUCGGGUGCCUGAGCAACAACACUGUCGGAUGUGGGCAGACACUGGAGAGUGCACGAGGACGGUCAUGGGACAGCGAGACAGCUCUCUCAGGUGUCCGCACAGUCUCUGGCCUCGAAGUCUCCAGUCCUCAGAGUCUUCUGCCAGGUACUAAGAGACAGACUUCUUCCAUGUGUUUAAUGUUGACAGUUGUUCCCACUGCUCUCUGAGACUCGGGGCUCUGACUAUAACUGCAUGUCUACAGCCAGGGCCCAUUGCAUUCUGAAUCAGUGACACACAGAGCUGGUUCUUUGAAAAGAUAAACAAGAUCUGUGAAAGGCCAUGGAAGGCCAU